rnacentral:rRNA from 1 species
AGAGUUUGAUCCUGGCUCAGAACGAACGCUGGCGGCAGGCCUAACACAUGCAAGUCGAGCGCACCCUUCGGGGCGAGCGGCGGACGGGUUAGUAACGCGUGGGAACGUACCCUUUACUACGGAAUAGCCUCUGGAAACGGAGAGUAAUACCGUAUGUGCCCUUCGGGGGAAAGAUUUAUCGGUAAAGGAUCGGCCCGCGUUAGAUUAGAUAGUUGGUGGGGUAAUGGCCUACCAAGUCUACGAUCUAUAGCUGGUUUUAGAGGAUGAUCAGCAACACUGGGACUGAGACACGGCCCAGACUCCUACGGGAGGCAGCAGUGGGGAAUCUUAGACAAUGGGCGCAAGCCUGAUCUAGCCAUGCCGCGUGUGUGAUGAAGGCCUUAGGGUCGUAAAGCACUUUCGCCAGGGAUGAUAAUGACAGUACCUGGUAAAGAAACCCCGGCUAACUCCGUGCCAGCAGCCGCGGUAAUACGGAGGGGGUUAGCGUUGUUCGGAAUUACUGGGCGUAAAGCGUACGUAGGCGGAUUGGAAAGUUGGGGGUGAAAUCCCAGGGCUCAACCCUGGAACUGCCUCCAAAACUAUCAGUCUAGAGUUCGAGAGAGGUGAGUGGAAUUCCAAGUGUAGAGGUGAAAUUCGUAGAUAUUUGGAGGAACACCAGUGGCGAAGGCGGCUCACUGGCUCGAUACUGACGCUGAGGUACGAAAGUGUGGGGAGCAAACAGGAUUAGAUACCCUGGUAGUCCACACCGUAAACUAUGAGAGCUAGUUGUCUGCAUGCAUGCAUGUAGGUGACGCAGCUAACGCAUUAAGCUCUCCGCCUGGGGAGUACGGUCGCAAGAUUAAAACUCAAAGAAAUUGACGGGGGCCCGCACAAGCGGUGGAGCAUGUGGUUUAAUUCGAA